rnacentral:rRNA from 1 species
GACGAACGCUUGCGGCGUGCCUAAGAAAUGCAAGUCGAGCGGGGGAGCAAUCCCUAGCGGCGAACGGUCGCGUAACACGUAAGCAACCUGCCCGAAAGACCGGGACAACAGCUCGAAAGGGCUGCUAAUACCGGAUGUGUCCACUUUGCCUCAUGGCUUGGUGAGUAAAUCAUUUAUGGCUUUCGGAGGGGCUUGCGGCCUAUCAGCUAGAUGGCGGUGUAACGGACCCCACNGGCGACGACGGGUAGCUGGUCUGAGAGGAUGGUCAGCCGGACUGGGACUGAGACACGGCCCAGACUCCUACGGGAGGCAGCGAGU